CAGUAGCCGCGGGAAUACGAGGGGUGCAAGCGUUAUUCGGAUUGAUUGGGUGUAAAGGGUGUGCAGACGGCUUAUUAAGUCACUUGUUAAAUUCUUCGGCCUAACUGAAGGUCUGCAAGUGAUACUGAUGAGCUAGAGGGUGGAAGAGAGAUGUGGAAUUCUCGGAGUAGCGGUAAAAUGCGUAGAUCUCGAGAGGAACACCAAUGGCGAAGGCAGCUUCUUGGUCCAUUCCCGACGUUCAUACACGAAAGCGUGGGGAGCAAACAGGAUUAGAUACCCCCGUAGUCCCUGUCUCUUAUAC
rnacentral:rRNA from 1 species